CGAGGAGCUUGCUCCUUUGACGUUAGCGGCGGACGGGUGAGUAACACGUGGGUAACCUACCUAUAAGACUGGGAUAACUUCGGGAAACCGGAGCUAAUACCGGAUAAUAUUUCGAACCGCAUGGUUCGAUAGUGAAAGAUGGCUUUGCUAUCACUUAUAGAUGGACCUGCGCCGUAUUAGCUAGUUGGUAAGGUAACGGCUUACCAAGGCAACGAUACGUAGCCGACCUGAGAGGGUGAUCGGCCACACUGGAACUGAGACACGGUCCAGACUCCUACGGGAGGCAGCAGUAGGGAAUCUUCCGCAAUGGGCGAAAGCCUGACGGAGCAACGCCGCGUGAGUGAUGAAGGUCUUCGGAUCGUAAAACUCUGUUAUUAGGGAAGAACAAACGUGUAAGUAACUGUGCACGUCUUGACGGUACCUAAUCAGAAAGCCACGGCUAACUACGUGCCAGCAGCCGCGGUAAUACGUAGGUGGCAAGCGUUAUCCGGAAUUAUUGGGCGUAAAGCGCGCGUAGGCGGUUUUUUAAGUCUGAUGUGAAAGCCCACGGCUCAACCGUGGAGGGUCAUUGGAAACUGGAAAACUUGAGUGCAGAAGAGGAAAGUGGAAUUCCAUGUGUAGCGGUGAAAUGCGCAGAGAUAUGGAGGAACACCAGUGGCGAAGGCGACUUUCUGGUCUGUAACUGACGCUGAUGUGCGAAAGCGUGGGGAUCAAACAGGAUUAGAUACCCUGGUAGUCCACGCCGUAAACGAUGAGUGCUAAGUGUUAGGGGGGUUUCC
rnacentral:rRNA from 1 species